UCACUGGAUUACGUAUUUUGAAAGACAAAACUAGAUAAUAUUGUAUAUUUCUAAAUAUUACCACUAUAUUUUUCAGACUAUUGUUCGAUUGAUGGUAAAAUAAAUGUUUAUUACCUAAAGCAGGAAAUGGCGGGAAGAAUCCUAGCAGACGACAGUUGUCGCGCAGAUGCAAUCGUGCACCAUAUCAGACAGCCCUAAUUUAAGUUACAGGCUGACCUAGCUCUAUACUGGACUCGCUUUCAGCAGGUAGAUGACGACAAUAAAUUUUAAAGAGUGGAAAUUUGCGACUUCCGUGUGUCUGCUACUCGAUGUUGUGAUCUCAGUUACUUCCCCUGACGUUCAGUGUCGAGUUUCAGGAUUUGAAAUUAUGAAAGAAGGAACGAUAUGAAAUGAGCACCGGCAAUCUGAUCUUGGCAUGUUACAUCCUUAUCACAGAACUGGA